GCAAGUCGAGCGCAGUAGCAAUCCAUAGUGGCAAACGGAUGAAUAUCAUGUGGGAAUCUGCCUUUUGGCUUGGAAUAAAACGAGCAAACUUUUGCUAAUACCGAAUAAGCCCUUAAGGUGAAAGUUUUAAUGCCGAAAGAUGAGCCCGCACUUGAUUAGCUAGUUGGUAAGGUAAAAGCUUACCAAGGCAACGAUCUAUAGCUGGUCUUAGAGGAUGAUC
rnacentral:rRNA from 1 species